GCCCUUUUGUGCUGCAGGUUAAAGCAUAAAGCACCCCGCCUGGGGAGUACGGCCGCAAGGCUAAAACUCAAAAGGAAUUGACGGGGGCCCGCACAAGCGGCGGAGCAUGUGGAUUAAUUCGAUGCAACGCGAAGAACCUUACCUGGGCUUGACAUGGACUAGAAAGCUCUAGAGAUAGAGCCUCCCUUGUGGCUGGUUCACAGGUGGUGCAUGGCUGUCGUCAGCUCGUGUCGUGAGAUGUUGGGUUAAGUCCCGCAACGAGCGCAACCCUCGUUCCAUGUUGCCAGCACGUAAUGGUGGGGACUUCAGGGAGACUGCCGGGGUCAACUCGGAGGAAGGUGGGGAUGACGUCAAGUCAUCAUGCCCCUUAUGUCCAGGGCUUCACACAUGCUACAAUGGCCGGUACAAAGGGCUGCUAAGCCGUGAGGUGGAGCGAAUCCCAUAAAGCCGGUCUCAGUUCGGAUCGGGGUCUGCAACUCGACCCCGUGAAGUCGGAGUCGCUAGUAAUCGCAGAUCAGCAACGCUGCGGUGAAUACGUUCCCGGGCCUUGUACACACCGCCCGUCACGUCACGAAAGUCGGUAACACCCGAAGCCCGUGGCUCAACCCGCAAGGGGGAGAGCGGUCGAAGGUGGGACUGGCGAUGGACGAAGUCGAACA
rnacentral:rRNA from 1 species